rnacentral:rRNA from 1 species
GAUGAACGCUGGCGGCGUGCCUAAUACAUGCAAGUCGAGCGAAUGGAUUAAGAGCUUGCUCUCAUGAAGUUAGCGGCGGACGGGUGAGUAACACGUGGGUAACCUGCCCAUAAGACUGGGAUAACUCCGGGAAACCGGGGCUAAUACCGGAUAACAUUUUGAACCGCAUGGUUCGAAAUUGAAAGGCGGCUUCGGCUGUCACUUAUGGAUGGACCCGCGUCGCAUUAGCUAGUUGGUGAGGUAACGGCUCACCAAGGCAACGAUGCGUAGCCGACCUGAGAGGGGGAUCGGCCACACUGGGACUGAGACACGGCCAAGACUCCUACGGGAGGCAGCAGUAGGGAAUCUUCCGCAAUGGACGAAAGUCUGACGGAGCAACGCCGCGUGAGUGAUGAAGGCUUUCGGGUCGUAAAACUCUGUUGUUAGGGAAGAACAAGUGCUAGUUGAAUAAGCUGGCACCUUGACGGUACCUAACCAGAAAGCCACGGCUAACUACGUGCCAGCAGCCGCAGUAA